GACGGAGGAUGCAAGUGUUAUCCGGAAUCACUGGGCGUAAAGCGUCUGUAGGUUGUUUAAAAAGUCUGCAGUUAAAGGUUGAAGCUUAACUUCAAAAAUGCCGUAGAAACUUUUAAACUAGAGGAUGGUAGGGGUAGAAGGGAAUUUCCAGUGGAGCGGUGAAAUGUGUAGAUAUUGGAAAGACCACCGAUGGCGAAGGCACUCUACUGGGCCAUGACUGACACUGAGAGACGAAAGCUAGGGGAGCAAAUGGG
rnacentral:rRNA from 1 species